CCCUCCCUUCUGGGUGCUCGCUGACUGACGGCCCUGCAGACUGCAGGGCCGGGCUUUCCCGGCAGUGACGCUGUCCUUGAGACGGCGGCGCGCAAACGGACGCGGCCGACACGUGUCCAGGUGCGCGGCUCCUAUAAAACAGCGCGCACCGUCCGUUCGACACCAUCGCAGGCCGCAGAUCCCAGCCUGAACACCACCCCCUGAGCAACAGAAGCAGCCAUGAUUGCCGUCAGCAGCAAGUCCCUCCUUGUCGCCCUCGUGGUGCUGGCCGCCCUGUGCAGCCUGGCAGCCGCUCAGUUCGGCUACGGCGGUUACGGCCGCGGCUAUGGUGGUUACGGCCGCGGAUACGGCGGCUAUGGUGGCGGCUAUGGUCGUGGAUAUGGCGGCGGCUAUGGGGGCUACGGCCGGGGCUAUGGUGGCUACGGCCGUGGUUUCUACGGCUAAGCUGCACCUCCCCAAAUGACAACCGCCUGCUGCAGUACGAACAACCACGCCGGUCCUGAAGAUGCCAACAAAUGACGAUUUAGUUACCCGAUCAUACGUCCUUCAUCUAAUAAAUUAAUUCGCUAUCACAA